GGAUAGCUCAGUUGCUAAAGCAUGAGACUCUUAAUCUUAGGGUCGUGGGUUCAAGCACCACGUUGGUCA